rnacentral:rRNA from 1 species
CCUACGGGCGGCAGCAGUGGGGAAUUUUGGACAAUGGGCGCAAGCCUGAUCCAGCCAUGCCGCGUGAGUGAAGAAGGCCUUCGGGUUGUAAAGCUCUUUUGUACGGAACGAAACGGGCGCGGCUAAUACCUGGGUCUAAUGACGGUACCGUAAGAAGAAGCACCGGCUAACUACGUGCCAGCAGCCGCGGUAAUACGUAGGGUGCGAGCGUUAAUCGGAAUUACUGGGCGUAAAGCGUGCGCAGGCGGUUUGUUAAGACAGGUGUGAAAUCCCCGGGCUUAACCUGGGAACUGCGUUUGUAACUGCAAGGCUAGAGUGUGGCAGAGGGGGGUGGAAUUCCACGUGUAGCAGUGAAAUGCGUAGAGAUGUGGAGGAACACCGAUGGCGAAGGCAGCCCCCUGGGCUAACACUGACGCUCAUGCACGAAAGCGUGGGGAGCAAACAGGAUUAGAUACCCGUGUAGUC